AUACUUACCUGCCAGGGGAGAUACCAUGAUCAUGAAGGUGGUUUUCCCAGGGCAAGGCUUAUCCAUUGCACUCCAGAUGUGCUCACCUCCCCCAGUCAAGUGGGAAACUUGACUGCAUAAUUUGUGGUAGUGAGGGACUGCGUUCAUGCUCUCUCCAG
rnacentral:snRNA from 1 species